UGGGGAAUUUUGGGACAAUGGGGGAAACCCUGAUCCAGCCAUCCCGCGUGUGCGAUGAAGGCCUUCGGGUUGUAAAGCACUUUUGGCAGGAAAGAAACGUCGCGGGUUAAUACCCCGCGAAACUGACGGUACCUGCAGAAUAAGCACCGGCUAACUACGUGCCAGCAGCCGCGGUAAUACGUAGGGUGCAAGCGUUAAUCGGAAUUACUGGGCGUAAAGCGUGCGCAGGCGGUUCGGAAAGAAAGAUGUGAAAUCCCAGAGCUUAACUUUGGAACUGCAUUUUUAACUACCGGGCUAGAGUGUGUCAGAGGGAGGUGGAAUUCCGCGUGUAGCAGUGAAAUGCGUAGAUAUGCGGAGGAACACCGAUGGCGAAGGCAGCCUCCUGGGAUAACACUGACGCUCAUGCACGAAAGCGUGGGGAGCAAACAGGAUUAGAUACCCUGGUAGUCCACGCCCUAAACGAUGUCAACUAGCUGUUGGGGCCUUCGGGCCUUGGUAGCGCAGCUAACGCGUGAAGUUGACCGCCUGGGGAGUACGGUCGCAAGAUU
rnacentral:rRNA from 1 species